UACGUAGGUGGCAAGCGUUGUCCGGAUUUACUGGGCGUAAAGAGCGCGCAGGCGGUCGUUCAAGUCGCGUGUGAAAGCCCCCGGCUCAACUGGGGAGGGUCACGCGAUACUGAUCGACUCGAAGGCAGGAGAGGGAAGUGGAAUUCCCGGUGUAGUGGUGAAAUGCGUAGAUAUCGGGAGGAACACCAGUGGCGAAGGCGGAGACCUGGGCCGAUACUGACGCUGAGGUGCGAAAGCGUGGGGAGCAAACAGG
rnacentral:rRNA from 1 species